GUGAACACACCCGCAGCCGAGGUGCUCUACACAGUCAUCCAGGACUGGGCCCAAUUGGAUGCGGGGAGCAUGGUGCUGGACGUGUGCUGUGGCACCGGCACCAUUGGCCUGGCCCUGGCCCGGAAGGUAAAGAGGGUCAUUGGGGUCGAGCUAUGCCCAGAGGCUGUGGAGGACGCCCGGGUGAACGCCCAGGACAAUGCCUCUGCAGAGCCCCAUCUAACCGGGUGAAGGGCAUUCCCUUCCGGCCGGUCAAGGCUGUGGCAGUGGACCUGUUCCCGCAGACCCCGCACUGUGAGAUGCUCAUCCUGUUUGAGAGGGUGGAGCACCCCAAUGGCACAGGGGUCUUGGGGCCCCACAGCCCUCCAGCUCAACCCACACCAGGACCCCCAGAUAACACCCUACAAGAAACUGGGACCUUCCCCUCAU
rnacentral:lncRNA from 1 species